GGAUGUGAGGGUGAUCUGGCUGCAACAUCUGUCACCCCAUUGAUCGCCAGGGUUGUUUCAGCUGAUCUGGCUGCCUAGGCAGGUGUCCUCUUCCUCCCUCACUGCUCCACGUGUGUCCCUCAGGAAGCUGUGCGCUUGGUCGAAGAGGAUGACCAUCCCCAGUAGAGGACGACUGGUCUUCUGUUCAGGGCAUACAAGUUACCGAGCUCCCCUGAUAGAAACUCCAAACAAGCUCUCAAGAGAAUAUAUUUAAGUGAACAGUUAGGGACAAAAAUAAAGUUGCUUAAUGAUUUCACUGCAUGGGUUUGGUUGCUCACUAUAGCAAUUAGCAGUAAUUU
ensembl:misc_RNA 7SK 7SK RNA